rnacentral:rRNA from 1 species
UACAGAGGGUGCGAGCGUUAAUCGGAAUUACUGGGCGUAAAGCGCACGUAGGUGGUUUUGUAAGUCGGAUGUGAAAUCCCCGGGCUUAACCCGGGAACUGCAUUCGAGACUGCAUUACUCGAGUAUGGGAGAGGGAAGCGGAAUUUCCGGUGUAGCGGUGAAAUGCGUAGAUAUCGGAAGGAACAUCAGUGGCGAAAAGCGGCUUCCUGGCCCAAUACUAGACACUCAUGU